rnacentral:rRNA from 1 species
UACGGAGGGUGCGAGCGUUGUCCGGAAUCAUUGGGCGUAAAGGGCGCGUAGGUGGCCUGCUAAGCGUGCGGUGAAAGUCGGGGGCUCAACCCCCGAUCGGCCGUGCGAACUGGGAGGCUUGAGCACUGUAGAGGCAGGCGGAAUUCCGGGUGUAGCGGUGGAAUGCGUAGAGAUCCGGAAGAACACCGGUGGCGAAGGCGGUCUGCUGGGGUCGAACUGGACGCUGAGGCGCGACAGCGUGGGGAGCGAACAGG